rnacentral:rRNA from 1 species
CCUACGGGUGGCAGCAGUCGAGAAUCAUUCACAAUGGGGGAAACCCUGAUGGUGCGACGCCGCGUGGGGGAAUGAAGGUCUUCGGAUUGUAAACCCCUGUCAUGUGGGAGCAAAUUAAAAAGAUAGUACCAUAAGAGGAAGAGACGGCUAACUCUGUGCCAGCAGCCGCGGUAAUACAGAGGUCUCAAGCGUUGUUCGGAAUCACUGGGCGUAAAGCGUGCGUAGGCUGUUUCGUAAGUCGGGUGUGAAAGGCGAGGGCUCAACCAGCGGACGGCACAUGAUACUGGGAGACUAGAGUAAUGGAGGGGGAAGCGGAAUUCUCGGUGUAGCAGUGAAAUGCGUAGAGAUCGAGAGGAACACUCAUGGCGAAGGCGGGUUCCUAGACAUUAACUGACGCUGAGGCACGAAGGCCAGGGGUGCGAAAGGGAUUAGAUACCCGGGUAGUC